rnacentral:rRNA from 1 species
GAUGAACGCUGGCGGCGUGCCUAAUACAUGCAAGUCGAGCGAACGGACGAGAAGCUUGCUUCUCUGAUGUUAGCGGCGGACGGGUGAGUAACACGUGGAUAACCUACCUAUAAGACUGGGAUAACUUCGGGAAACCGUAGCUAAUACCGGAUAAUAUUUUGAACCGCAUGGUUCAAAAGUGAAAGACGGUCUUGCUGUCACUUAUAGAUGGAUCCGCGCUGCAUUAGCUAGUUGGUAAGGUAACGGCUUACCAAGGCAACGAUGCAUAGCCGACCUGAGAGGGUGAUCGGCCACACUGGAACUGAGACACGGUCCAGACUCCUACGGGAGGCAGCAGUAGGGAAUCUUCCGCAAUGGGCGAAAGCCUGACGGAGCAACGCCGCGUGAGUGAUGAAGGUCUUCGGAUCGUAAAACGCUGUUAUUAGGGAAGAACAUAUGUGUAAGAAACUGUGCACAUCUUGACGGUACCUAAUCAGAAAGCAACGGCUAACUACGUG